CACGGAAAAAAUUUGCUCACAAACACAGACUUCUAAAGGAACAGAACAAACACAGCAAUGUUGAAGAGAACUUUGAAGUGGCCACGACGUCAACAGCUUCCAUUAACGCAGCCAAGAGUUCCUCAGGAAAUAGUAUGCCCUCAACCAGUGUGGAUAAACUUCUUUCAGGUAAAAAGCACAGCCAAUCAAUCAAAUACAUUUCAUGAAAACACUUAAGUCUGCAGUUCUCAAAAACUGCUCGUCCAGACA